rnacentral:rRNA from 1 species
UUUCUGCCACCGAAUACAUUAGCAUGGGAUAAUGGAAUAGGACCCUGUCCUCCUAUUUUCAGUUGGUUUUGGCAGCGCGAGGACUAGGGUAAUGAUUAAUAGGGAUAGUUGGGGGCAUUAAUAUUUAAUUGUCAGAGGUGAAAUUCUUGGAUUUAUGAAAGAUUAACUUCUGCGAAAGCAUCUGCCAAGGAUGUUUUCAUUAAUCAAGAACGAAAGUUAGGGGAUCGAAGACGAUCAGAUACCGUCGUAGUCUUAACCAUAAACGAUGCCGACCAGCGAUUAGGAGACGUUGAAUACAAAACACCACCAUCGGUUGCGGUCGUCCUUGGCGUCUCGGUUUCGGCCGGGGCGCGGGGACGGUUUAGCCCGGUGGCACCGGUGAAUGACUCCCCUAGCAGCUUGUGAGAACUUCCUUUGACCCUCAUUGACGUUUAUUCCUUUGUCGAUCCUU